rnacentral:SRP_RNA from 1 species
GCCGGGCGUGGUGGCGCACGCCUUUAAUCCCAGCAUUUGGGAGGCAGAGGCAGGCGGAUUUCUGAGUUCGAGGCCAGCCUGGUCUACAAAGUGAGUUCCAGGACAGCCAGAGCUACACAGAGAAACCCUUUCUCAAAAAACCAAAAAAAAAAAAAAAAAAAAAGAGAUGCAGAUGCAUCAGAAGAACAGACCACCAGGCCGUGAUGUUGCUGAGCUGGUUUUGGACAGUUUGCUUUAGGUCCACAGGCCUCGCCUGG